rnacentral:lncRNA from 1 species
GGGGUAAUGCCUAUUAUACCCUAACCUUUGGUUUGCCUAUAAAGGAGCUAAAUCAAGAAUACUAGGAAUCCUUUGUCCAUUCCAUUUAUUUUCGUAAGAGAGAAAAGGGAGAGGAAAAAGAGCAAGAGUGAAUAGAGAGAGAGAGAGAGAGAAUGAAAGAGCACGGGCAGAAGAAUGAAGGAAAAGAGGAUCAAGGUCAUCAUCUUUAAUCACCUAGAAAAGAACUAUAAGAGUAUGCCAUAUAACCCUAACUUCUACUUCAUCAUUUAAUGUCUUCUACUAUGCUUAGUUGUUAGUGGUUAUUGAUAUUUUUAUGGAAGAUCAUGAAGGAUCUUGGAGAAAUAAGGAUGUGUGUAGUUUAAAUGUCUUAAACUACUUGUUUAUAUGCAUAAAAAGUGAAAACGAGAGUUAAGAACGUACGCUCAAGCGACUUUAAUUUGGACUCAUAAAAAAAGUUGUUUGUGUAUUGUUUAUAAAAUCCAGAAAGAAGAAAUUUAGUUAAGGAAGUUAUGGAAAAGCUCCAAGUGGAACGAAGAUGCCAUAAUGAAGUUAUGGAGAAAUUUUUCGUAAAAGACGUUAAGUGAUGAAAACUCUUGUUUGGUACGAAUUUCGUGCUAAGUUUGCGGAUAAUAAACACUUCCGGAAGAUUCCAAUUUUUUUAGGGGUUUUAGAGUUCAUGGAAAAAUAUGAACCGCAGGCUCGACAACGAGCUUAAUCCGACUUCGGAUGAUUGACUUCUGAUGAUUUGAAAUUUUAAUGUUAAAACAAUUUUUUGACCAAAGAAAUGAGGUUAUGAAGGAAUUUUGUGUCAAUUUUUAGGCUUGUUAGAUAAUCGGAAAAGUUAUUCCGUUUGGGGUACUUGGAGUAUGUUAUACGAGCUUUAAUAUGGCUCAAGAAUGGACUCAUUCCGAUAACGAAGGGUCAAGCUAUGGCGUUGUAAAGUGGGUACGUCCUUAAGGAAAAAACAACAUGUUUCAUUUUUUUCAUCCAGAGAGUUUAAAGCUAGAGUAGACAAUCUACGCGAGUAAAUUAACCUGUCUGGAUUGUCAUACAGGGAGUUUAAAUCUAAAGCAGACACUCCGCUUCGCUAGUUUAACCUGUCAGGAUUGGCAUAUAGGGGUUUUUGAACUAAAGCAGAUAGUUCAAACUGUCUGCUUUGUACCAGUAACGUAAGAUACAAAAUAAAAGUUGGGCCCAUUGAUUAAAUCAUCAAAAAAGAACACUAAGAACUAAGAAUCUAAAGUUAAUGUAAGCCGUAAUUAGCAUCAACAUAUGUCUAAUUGGUAUAUGUAUAUGAACUUAAAUGUGUAGGAUAUUUUGAAGGACGUUUUAGAGUAUAAAGUAAAGAAUGCAUUAGGCAAGUAUUCUAACUCUUUUUAACUUUCGUUUGAAUGUCAGUUUUUGAGAAUAUAUUCUUAUGAAUAAUCAUUAUGUAUGCUUCGGUUUACACACUAUUUAUCGAUUGUGCAACCUUUAGACUAAUUCAAACUCUCUGUUAGUUGUAUAAGUGUUCAACUAUGUUAUAAUGCAUAAAUUGUUUAAACUUUGCUUUGACAUAAAUUUUUCAAGUUUUAAAGUUCGAUAUUACAUGAAUUGUUCGAGAUAUACGUUAAUGCCAUUUGUCCCGACUUGACGAAGAUUUAAAUAUUUUAUCGGUUUAAAAAUAAAUCUUUGAAAUACUAUUGAUGUUAGAUGGAGCUAUGCAACCCGAAUUGUUUUGGUACGGUUUAGGAUUCAAAAAUCUAAGAUGAACAACCUUAAUAUUGGGGUAUUUUACGUCGGAAAAAUCCCGACAAUCCCCUGAGUUGGUCAAACAAACGCAUAUAGUCGUUUAGUCAGAAUGUUGUAUAACAUAGGGUACAAUGGGCUGAUCACCCAAUGUGCUCGUGAGUCAGAUGGUUCAUUGUUGAAUUACUAACGAACCUUUGUGAAAAAUAGAAAAGUUCAAGGUCUUUUGACCACUCAGUAAAUCGUUUCAAAAUGUUAAAUGAAAAGGAAUUUAUUAUUAUUAUUAUUAUUAUUAUUAUUAUUAUUAUUAUUAUUAUUAUUAUUAUUAUUAUUAUUAUUAUUAUUCCUAUUUAUUCGAAAUUCUUUCACAACAAUUAUUUAGUUGUAGAAAUAGUAACAUGAUUCUUGAUUUUAUUGUUUAUUCAACUGUUUAUACUUGUUUUUCUUUGUAGCAAAAGCAGAUUGAAGGGUCCGGUAAGGACAAAGGAAAAGGAAAGAUGGAGUAAAAGAUAGUUGUAACUAUCUAUAAUAAUUAGAAGUAUUGUAAUAAUUACCUUAUACAUUAUCAUGUGAUGAAGACUUAAAGGUUUGAGAACCUGGGAUUAAUUAUAGUAAGACGUAUUGUAAUACUUAGUAGUUGCAUUUAUAUCGUUAUUAUUAUGUUAGAUGAGAAGUACCGUGGAGAACCAUAUUUAAAGGUACUCGGGUUUGGGGGCGUCACAAAUACUCCCUC